UUUCCUUUACUCUUUUUAUCUCUCUUCAGCCGUUCUUUUCCCAUAACACCAUUCUUCUCAUCUUCUCCUUUCUUUUCUUUUUUUUCUUUUUUUUUUUUUUUCGAUCCUUUCACUGGUGGCCAUCGCAAUAACCUUAUACGUAUCUGCAUCAAGCGAUUUUAAAGAGUCAUCUACCGAAAAUUUCAGAUCAGAUAAGGAUGGAGGACUGUACAAUUCCAAAGCCGGAGAAGCAAGAAUCGCCGGAAAAGCUUAAAUUUUCAGCAACAACACACCAGAGGGUCCCCUACCUAAUUCAUUGUCAUCACUAUCUGGGCUCCAAGUUUUGGAUGCUUUGAGUAAUUGAUUCAUGGGUCCUAUUCCAGCAAACUUUGGAUGCCUUGUUUCGUUGAACAAGCUUGUUCUAAUCAAGAAUUCGUUCUCUAGAUCGAUCCCUUCAUGAAUUGGCUUACCUUAAAGAAAACCCCAUUCAUGAACCGUUGUUGCCACGGCCAACCUCCACCCACCGGCGAAUCGUUUCGGUGAAUCACAGUUCUUUUUUCCUUGCUGAUCCUUUUUUUAAUAAUCUUUUACAUUUUUAUUUUUAUCCAAAUAUUUAAUCUCUGAUACUAUUUUUUUCCUUCUCAGUUGCUCUGAAACUAUAAACCUUACCAGAAAAAUCAGACAAUGAGAUAAAGAGACGGGAGAGGGUGAAAAAAUAGCGUUAUUGGUUUUAUGUUUCCUUUUUCCUUUUUUCUUUUUUAGAGUAAGGAAACUUUAUUUUCUCCUUUUAUCUCUAAAGUUUCUUAAUCAAACAGGUGUAAAAGGAAAGGUCGUUAAUAUAUCGCAUUACAAAUAUAUAUACACGCACACACACAAAGAUGGAGGAAAACAGAGAUGUUGGUGGCGGUGGCCGUGGUGGCACCCAUGGUGGUUGGUGGUGGUGGCCCCAAACAGUUUUAAGAUUUAAUUUCUCUCUCUCUCUCUCUCUCUCUCUCUCUAUAUAUAUAUAUAUAUAUAUAUAUAAGGUACUUCAGUAAUUUACCAUAGAAAAUUAAGGACAUUUCAGUAAAUUAGCAAGAUUCGUGAGUGUAUUUAACGGUCCAUCACACAUAAGGUAGGUCCAUGCAAGAUAUUUUUAAACUUAGGGAAGGUCAAAGUAAUUUUCCAAAUAAGAGAGGAGGUCCCUGUAAUUAGGACAACUCAUAGGAGAGGUUUAUAUAAAUUAGUUUCUUGAGCUCUCCCAUCUUACAAAGUACCUAGUUCAUAAACCAGGUCAAAAAAAAUACUUGCAAAAAGUUUCUUCUCAACUAGGGAUACACAUAAGGAAACAAUUAUGGAACAUUCAAAUACCCAUAUGUAUAACAAGGGAAAGAGAGGCAGGAAAAACGUAUUCACACUACUCUACGAAAGAAAAUCUGUAGUGGAAGCACACAACUACCUAUGCAACCCUUUUGCUUCCUUGCAGGAGCAAAUUUGCAGCUCAUAGCCUGAAGAGUAUGAAUUUAUGUGUGCAUGAUUGACUGAUCGCAAAUAAAUGGUUAUUCUGCUUUACCAUAGACCAAAUGAAUUCUGGAUGAAGUGAAAGUGGAUGAUUGCACAACUUCCGAUCCGGGACAACAAGUGGACAACAUCAUAUAUGGCUAUUGAUGUCAUCAUGCAUCAGAGUAACACAUUUCUCAACUGGAUCCUUUUAUUCAUUUGGUGAGUAAACAUCAUGUUUUCUUAUCAUGUGGUAUUUUGUGAUGUUUGGAAGAAUAGAAACAACAGGACAACUCAAUUUAUAAUUUUAUGGAA